UUUGUUUUAAGGCUUCAUUUUCUACAAAUGUCAGAAAAUGGAUCUUGACAAAAC
rnacentral:pre_miRNA from 1 species